CCGGGCUGGGGCGGGGUGAGGCGCCUUAACCCCUUCGUCGCUGCGCCCCGCCCGCGCGUGGGACCCCUCAGCCUCACCCUCUCUAGGGCGCAGCAAGUCCGCCACGAGCCCCUCUGCUCAUCGCUCGUUACCCCCCAGGCCCUUGGGCUUGGGCUCAGGCCCAGUCGUUCCUCUGCAACAAAUCCAAUGGAACCGCGCCCUCCCUGAAUCCCACGUCUAGGAAGAGGAGGAGGAGCCCCUCUUGCUUGGGGGAAGGGGCUCCCGACUCGGAGCCCCGAGCCCCAUUCCUCUCCCGCGCCAGCUCUUCGGGACGCAGCCUCCCAGCGGACGCCCUGAGACCUUGCAAGUCCGCUAGGGAGGGGUCGGGACGAGCCGUCGCGGGUGGAUCCACCCGGCCGAGCAACGACCCGCCCGGGCGCGAGGACCACGGGCUGUCGUGCGGGAGGCGUCGAGGGGCAGUAAACUCCGUUCGUGACCAAACGGAGACGAUUUGAAACUUGCUGCUCACACUGGAUCACCGUCUGGAAGCUGACGGAGGGGUUCCCACUCUCAUGUGAUGGCAGUGGCCAAACACAACACCUGACACUGGACAGAUUCUGAUUUGACUGGUCCUGGGUGCAACGGGGCUGGCAUGAGACGACUAAAAACUCCCCAGGUGAAUCCAAUGAGCAACCAGGCUAAGGACCAGUGAUCUAACUAAUGUAGGCUCCAGAUGGCCUUCCAAACAAUACAUGUGGCCCUUCAUGCUCCAGGUGAUGACAAGUACCCGUUGCUGAUGGAAGUAGCAGAGUCAUACCUUUCUUGGAAUUUAGGUUCUACAGUCAAUGCUUAUGGCACCCAAUGAGUCAAAAACACCCUUGGCAACUCCUAAGGAAGACUCUGCCCUGGAACCUGACGUACUGUUUCCCCAUCACCAUCCAGGGAGCGUUUCCUCCUGGGCUGGAACAGAAAGCUGCCUCCUCCAUCAGGCACCAGAGGAAGUAGGGGGCUUAUGUUUAGGGACCACUUUGCAUAAAUACACAUUUAAACAUGUGCCUCACCCUCAGCACAGCAGGAUGCUCACGCCAUGAACAGCCAACAGGAACCAGAGUGACCGACCCUCCAGGAGGUACACACCUCCCUCCCAUCCCACCCACUUCUGAGCAUAUGGUUCUCACAUCCACCAGUGGGUGGAAUCACCCACACCAUUUAAACUUUUUGUCAAGGAUGUAGAGCUGAAUUCAUGUGAUUUCCCAUAUGAGCAAUGUCCCUCCCUCCGCUGCACAAUUAUAGCCAGCUCAAGCAGGUCCUCUCCUUCCUUCUACCUGCCCUGCAAAUGGCUCUCUCCUUCACUGACCCCCCCACCCUCCCUCUUAAAGGCUGAUGCUCCCUAGGACUCUAUCCUUGAUGCUUCUCAUUAAUUCUUCUCCCCACUGGCUCUCAGCCCUACUUAGGGCUCCUGAUCAGUUAAAAAAGACCCAUGAGACCUCCCCUCCCCAGUUAACAGAGAUGUGGCCCAAGAGGCUCCCCACUUCUAAUUUGAGUGGGGGCAAAAGAAGAGAAAGAUCUUAUCUAGGUCUUGGGGGCAGGGCUUGCAGGGCACAAAGGAACAGAGUAAAUGUGCAACAGGCUAUUUUCUUGAAUGAAUGGAUUCAUAAUAAGAACAGGACUUCACCAGCUUCCAAGGGACCCUCCCCACCUCUCGGAUAUAUUCUGAAGCCUAAAUUUCACCUGCUUAUCUAGGAUCCUAGGCCAGGCCUUCUGCCAUACCAAGCCACACCAAGCUCAGCAGUACUCACAGGCCUUUAAUCUAUAACUGCCCGGCCACACCAUCACUUCCCCAGGAUGGUGGGGAGGGAUGAAGAUGUAUAGCCAGGUAGGCCACACCAACUCUGAGUCCAAGAGGGAAGGACUGGGGUCAGGCUGGGGCUUGGGCAGGGGGCUCCCGGCCCCAGGCGAUGAGGGAGUUGCUGGCUUGGGCAAGCUCGGCGAUGGACACCCGGCCCCGCUGUCGGAUGAAGUUGGCCACGGCGGCCAGUUCCUCUGGGGUUAUGUAGAUGAACUUGCCCCGGUCGUCAAUCACACCUGUGGGGACAUGCAGGUUGUGGGGCUGAGGCCUCCUGGGCGUUCCCCACCUGGCCUGAGAAUGCCCACCUACUCCUUCACAGCUGGCUCAGGGCCCUUCCGGCCUCCUGCCUGCCUGGCCUUUCCUGGCUGCAUCCAGUCCUGCUAGGAGAGUCGAAUCAGGCUGCCCUGCCUGUCCUCUCCCACUGCUGCCACCUCCAGGCCCUGGCAUGUCCUCCUUGUAACUGCAUCCAGCUACUCAGUGCCCCUCGUUGCACACCCCUCCCCCCAUCUUGGGUGGUCAUCCUGCCUCUGCAGCACAUCCCUGCAGCCCCUGUGGCUAGACACUCUCCAAGGCCAGGACUGCAGUGAUUGGCUCUCAUCAUCUCACCUGUUAUAGUCCCCUCAGCCAGCAGGUCCUGGAUGCGAUUUAUGGUGUCCUAUGAGGAGAACAAUUCUCAGAAUAGAGAUAGGCACCAAUGUCCCCAGAAAAAGCACUGAAACCUCCCUCCCACUACAGCCAAAUCUCUUCAUUUCCCUCUCAUGCCACGCCCAAAUGUGACUCUGUGCUUUGCCUUUGGAAGGGCCCUGGGUAGAAGGGGCUCUGGUCCUGGGCCCUGCAAGACCCCCAAAAGAGUAUCUCUUCCUGUUAGAAGCGGGGCAGUGAUGUCUGCAACACAGGCUGGUGCAGUCUGUGCAUGACAGUUGUCAAGGUAACUGAUUUGGGCUGCUUUGGUCACAGGGGCUGGCGGAGUGAUGGGGUUUGGGGUUUUUUUUUUCUUUCCUGCCUGUUUAUCCAUUAAAAAUGCAGGAUUCCCAGGGUGCCAGGAGACUUCUGUGCACUACUCACUCUUGGUUGGGGACAAGGUAGACGGUGCAUCAAGACUCUAUCUUUAGGGCAGG